GUUUCUCCAACCCACCCAACACAUGUGGAUUGCAAUCCUUAUGCAUGGGCCGUUCGGCCGGCGUCGCGGCCCACCAAAGGCGCCGUCCGAUGGAUUAAAAUCCCAUCACACGGCGUAACCCCAGCAUUUCCGUUUUUCCAAUAUUUAGUCCCCAAUCAGGCAAAUAACGCAAUAGCCCCCAUUCUCUACCGUAGCCCCUCCUCCACCGGCGCCGUGCAUCCUCUCCCCUACCGGCACCCCGCCUCUCCUCCUCCUCUCCCGAAGAGGACGCAAUAGCCGGCGGCUCGCGUUGGAGGACGACGUCCAGAGCCACCGCUGCCAUCUCCUCAACUAUCUCUCUCAGCCAGAUCCGCCUUCGCCGAAAACGGCCGGCUGGGUAUCGAAGGAGUGCUGGUUUUCUCAUCCUUGAGGGUGUGGUCUUGAGGGUGUGGUUUGAGGGAGCUAGAGUAUUGGGGGCUGAAAAAAUAUUCUUAUUCGUGAUGGGAUUGGAGGAGCAUCCAAAUCACUCAAAUGACAUGUUUUUAGAGAGGGGACUCUAGUAGGACUCUAGUACUUGUAUAUGAUUCGGACUGUAAUUACCAGCCGAGUCCUUGAUCCCAUAAAUUUAAUUCCUUUUUCACCGGGAGCCACAUAUAUUAGAAGGUUUGUCUCCUCCCAUCGGGAGGGGAUUAACCGAACAAGCCCGGAUUUUUCCAGCUCGUGAACUUGAAGUUUGGUUUGGCUUUUUAACCACGCGAAACGACUGCCUCGUUGUUCUUCAUCUUUCAUGUUUAUGUUUCCCAAACCCAGAUCCUGCUAUUUUUUGUAGCUUGAACUGAUCUACACAGAUCAAUAAAAAAAUAGGCAUGGAUAAUUCAGCUGUUUCUGCCAUGGACCUUUACAGGCAUACAAGGGGGAUGAGUUUGGUUGAUAGGUUCACAGUCCUGACAAACACUGGGGACGAAUGUAUCCGUGAGGUUGAACUUUGGUUUCUUCUGAAGAGGAAGACCACCCCUGUUUGUUAUGUUUGGUUUGAGCCAUCCCCCAAGAUGAGCAUAGAUGAGGGAAUCAUGAAGACAAUCUAUGUAAAUAAGAUUGUCAAAGCUGGGUGCACAGUUAAAAUUUUGAUGGCUGAUUUAUUUGCUGUAUGCUAUAAGUCUGGAUCGUACAAUCUUGAUCAGGUGCGGACCAUUGGUUCCUACAAUAUUGAGAUGUGGAGAGCAGCUGGUAUGGACCUUGAGAGAGUUCAGCCUGUGUGGUUAUCAGAUGAAUUGAAUCAUCAUCCAUCUGAUUACUGGCCACUUGCCUUGGAUAUCUCGACAAAAAGCACAGUGGAUCAAAUGGCAAGGUGUCGUGUGGAUCUGGAAUCAUUUGGACCAGAAAUAUUGUCUGGUGCAGAAUUGUUUUAUCCUUGCUUACAAAUUGCGGUCAUCUUAGUCCAGAAGGCGGACAUGUGGCUCUUCAGUAUUGAUCAGCGAAAUGCUUGUAUGAUAGCUAGAAGUUACUCUGAGAACUUAAAAAGGAAAAACAAACCAAUUAUUCUGUUGCACAACAUUCUCCCUAGUUUACUAGAAGACCCUGAGUUCCAGGACAUUGCAGAUCCAGGACAUACCAUAUUCAUGGAAGAUGACGUGACUGCUUUAAGUUAUAAAAUGAAGAGAGUUUUCUGCCCUCCGAACCUGACAUUAGGCAACCCAUGUUUGGACUAUAUCAAACAUGUAAUCUUCCCUUGGUUUGGAAAGUUGGAGGUGGUUCAUACUGAAGGGAAAGAUGGUAACAGGACAUUUGCAAGUAUGGAAGAGCUUAUCCUUGGUUAUGAAAGUGGUGUGGUUGAUUCUGCUAAUGUUAAGCUAGCUUUUGAAAUGGCAUUAAACAAGAUAUUACAGGACAAGAACCUCUAUUCUGCCUGGAUGCAACAACUACUGACAUUUAGGAAUCUGUGAGAGCUUGAGAGGCCUAUAAGCAAACCUGUGAGGUCAUAUGAACUAACAAAUCAACACAAGCUGAGACUCAUUUAGGUAGGAGCAAUUAAGGACUUGAGCCUUCGGAAUAUAUAGCGCAGGAAUCCAAAGGUCUUAAAAGCCUGUCCAUGACCACUUCAGGGAUAACAGUAGAGCCAUGGCACUGUUUUCCUCCCUCAAGAAAUACAAGCGGGGGAGAAGACAAGCUUGAAGGCAACUGUCAUGCAUAGACAGGCUUGAAGACAACUGUCAUGCAUAGAUAAGUUUGAAGACAACUAUCAUGCAUGCAACCCAGGUGGUGAAAUUUUCUGUUUCAGAAAUAUAAGUGGGAUAUACAAGCUGGAAUUAGAAUGCUAAUUCUUAAUAUUUGCUAGCAACCACAACAUUGCACAGAUUUGGUUUGGUCCAAUCUACUUCUGGUAAUGUCUAUACCGGUUUAUUUUUGGAAGGCUUGUUUCACUAUCAGUUGCUUGGCGGGUCAAGCAGCUCCUCAUCGAGGAAGAAUUAAUUUCUUGUUGAGGCUGGGAAUUGUUAAUGAACUAAAAUUAUUGUUUUGGGCCACGUGCUUUCUUUCCA